CCGUCGCGCAUGUGCGCUGCCUCUCCGCUCCCGGGCUCAGCCAUGUUCCUCGGCGGCGGGGCUGCUCGCCUCAGCCAUGUUCGGAGGGCAGCGGGGCCUGCCGCGCCAGGGAGGCGGCGGAGAGGAGCCGGGCGGGCUGCGCAGUUCUGUGCAACAUCCACACUGCUGGCGUCAAGAACAGGAAUGUAGGAGCUGGAAUGGUUCAGAUUCUUUGGUGUUGGAUGAAUAUGAACAUUUAGACCAAUGGCUGGAGAGCUCUACAACACCAGAACAGUCAAGGACUUUUUCUUGCCCUGACUGGGAAGACAGAAUUGAGGAAGACAAAGCUGUGAAAACAUCGAAUAAAAAAGUGACAAAUGAUUCUGCUAAUCCAGCUGAAAGGGAAACAGAUGAAGUGGUUCUGAGGAGAAGACAAAAACAGAUCAAUUUUGGAAAGAAUACUCUUGCUUAUGACAGAUAUAUUAAAGAAGUUCCAAAGAAUCAACGGAUACCAGGAGUUCAUCCUAGAACCCCCAACAAAUUUAAGAAGUACAGCCGUAGGUCCUGGGACCAGCAAAUCAGGUUGUGGAAGAUAGCACUGCAUGCCUGGGACCCUCCAACUGAAGAAACCUGGGAUCUCCAGCCUGUUAGUACAGAACCCUCAGGUACUUCCCAGGAAUGGUUCUGCAAGGAUCAGGAUAUUUCUGGCUCCUUUGUUUUUGAUGAAAAGCAGAAGAAAAAUGAGUGUGAAGAUGAGUGCAGCCAGACUGACUACACACCAGAGAGUCCCUGUUCUCCAGGUUCUUCUCCGGUCUGGAAACGCAGAAAAAGAAACAAUUCUGACUCCUCUGUGAUUUCAAAGAGCAAAAACCAUUAUGUGCAGAUGUAUCACACACUGGGAAGCCUUACUGAAUCAGGACACCAGGAGGCUCUUUCAAAGUGCUCAGAGUGGGAAGCCUUUGGUGAACACGACAAAGUAAUGACAGUACAACAUGGUAUUGAAAUAAGUGACCCAAUUCCAGCCAGCUGUUCUUCAGGAUGGAACAAUCAGAAACAGAAAAAUCCCAAUUUCUUUCUUCCUGACAGCAAAACUUGGAGAGAUACAGACUGCAGGCUUGAGAGGCUUAAACUUUGUAGCAGUUUGUUGGAAGGACAUCAGUCAGAAUACCCUGAAAGGGGAUGGGGAAGUGCUGAAGAGAGAAUAAUGAGGAAAAACAUUUAAAUACCAAGUCUCUCUUUGUAUAUAGAAGUAUCGAAGAAGGACUUUCUCCUGUGAUGGAAUAUGAUUUGAAGGAUAGGGAUGUAGUCUGAGAUGAGCUGAUCAAGUCUUGGAAAACUGGUGCAGUUGCAUAUGGCCUGCACUGAAAGAAGAAGAGAUUUACAGUCAGCAUAUAUGCAAUCAACAUAAGGCAAAAUGUGCAGGUUUUUCAAGAUCCUUAAGGAUAGAUUAUACUUUUUCUGCAACCUCUGCCUCAAGUGUAAAACUUCUGAUUUCAUUAAGCCUGUGCUACAAUGAUGGUGGAUGUUCCUUAAAGCUUUUGUGAGAAUGUUUCUGCUGUACCUGCGUUGGCAGACAACGUGCAUCAUAUUGUAAAGGCUACUUCGAUUGAUGGAUCCUGUUGUUGCUAUUUGGAGAUCUCCUACUUAUAGUGCACUGGUGUUAUGCUGGUAAACUGGUCCAAUGUCAAGUUAAACUGAAGAAUGUCAGCCUUAAACCAAGGAGUUCAACCCCUGUUUCCUCUACUGGACCAGAAUUGUGCAUCCAAGCCGAAGAACUGUUUCAAAAGAAUGUAGAUAAUUUCAGCCUUUUUCCAGCUGUUAAAGACAAUCUGUUCUUAGCUUUUGGAUUGGGUGAUCCUCUGUUUGGCUUUUUUACCAUUCUCUGACAUAAGAUAUGUUAAGGUAGAAUUUGCCUAAGCAAGUGAGAGAAGAGAAAGGAAAGGCAGAUGAUUUAUCAAAAUCAGAUCCUUCUCUUUAAGGGGAUGAGUGACUGUUUGAACAGCAAUGCAGUCUUAAAUACAUGGGAUUUGCUUUUAUGUGUGUUGCAGCCUAAUGCGAAGAGCCAAUUUACUGCUAAGUGUAUAAGAGAAUUAAUUCAGUGCCUGGUGUUCCUACAGGAACUGGGGGUGAGCAGCAGUACUUGCAGGUUUAGAGCUGCUCUUACCCACACUAAGGGUUGCAGUGGUGUUGAAAGGUUCUGCAUUAUUUUAUUCUCCUAGCACUGUGCUCAGUGAGGUCUGUGGCUAUAAUGGCAUUCAGACCAGCUUCAUAUGCCAGUUAUAAGAAUGUUUUACAGUCCUUGUGGCAUUUUAUGUAGCAUGUACUGGGACACAAAUGUCUGUUAGAGCUGGGAACUGCCUCUUUGCAGGAGUUUGGUUGGCUUUUCACAGGGCCACUGCAGAACUAUGGCAGUGCCAGGGAUGUCACACAGCAGCCUUGCUCUGGGGCUGGCAGUGUACCCAGGGCCCUAAAGCCCAUUGUGCUACUGAUGUGGAACUAAACUGCAUCCCCAAAACUACCCCCAGUUCAUUCCAAAACAUUAUUUCCAGGGUGCUCGGGCAUGGGGUUCAGUAGUGUCCCAGCACAAGGGUGGCUCAGCCACACACCACAGAGCGUGGGGUGUGUGUACACAAGGAACACACCUGUACAGCACUUUUUAAAGAAGUAAUAUUUAGCACCUUCUUGCUCCAGUGUGCAUGCUGUCAUGUGAUUUAUGAUGACUGUAAAUAAGGGAAUGGUACAAUGUUUUGGCAUUUUUGUCUUUAUGCAGAAGAAUUAAAGACUUUAAAAAUUCCUGUUA